GUCUAGAAUGGGACAUGGGCAUGAAUGGAGAUGUGGGGACAAUGACAGGGAUGGAAACAUGGCGGGGAGACAGCCAUGGGUGUCUUCCAAAGGCAAAUGGUGAUGGACUGGGGCAAAGACCAAGAUUUGGGGUGGAAACCCCUCCAACAAAGGCUUUUCCCUCCACUGAACCCAACCCUACAGAUACUCUCAUGAUGCUGACAAGUAACUCCUUUUUUUUUGAGUUUGAUUUUAUUUCAUCCAUUUUUAUCCCCUACAAACACAUAAAAUUGUCAUAAAAAUAAAGAAAUUGAUUUUACUCUCA